UACGGAGGGUGCAAGCGUUAUCCGGAUUCACUGGGUUUAAAGGGUGCGUAGGUGGGCAGGUAAGUCAGUGGUGAAAUCUCUGGGCUUAACCCAGAAACUGCCGUUGAUACUAUCUGUCUUGAAUAUAGUGGAGGUGAGCGGAAUAUGUCAUGUAGCGGUGAAAUGCUUAGAUAUGACAUAGAACACCCAUUGCGAAGGCAGCUCGCUACACUAUUAUUGACACUGGGGCACGAAAGCGUGGGGAUCAAACAGG
rnacentral:rRNA from 1 species